rnacentral:rRNA from 1 species
GUACACACCGCCCGUCGCUCCUACCGAUUUCGAGUGGUCCGGUGAGCCUUUUGGACCAGGGGGCAACCUCUGUAAAUCAAGCAAACCUUAUCACUUAGAGGAAGGAGAAGUCGUAACAAGGUUUCCGUAGGUGAACCUGCAGAAGGAUCA